CCUAUUCCAGGCCCUGUUUUGCUACUUUAAACUCGAGAUUUGCUUCUGAAAUUUUUACUGGAGUUAGAUGUUAGUGUCUGGAAUAUGUCAUCAAAAUUUUAUACAAACAGACCAAUUUUUCUAUUUAUUAAAAUUCUUAGCGUGGGGCUGGUUCUGCAGGACAGAUUCAGAUUCCUGACUUGCAGGCCCUGUUUUACUCCCUUAAACAUGGAAUUUGCUUCUGAAAUUUUUAUAGUAGAUUGGAAUAAUGUUUAGGAGUGUCUCAUAAAAAUUUUGUAUUAAAAAGAUAAAUUUUCAAUUUAUUAAAAAUCAUAGAGUGAGGGCUGUUUGAACUAUUUGUUCUAGUUUUCUUUCUUUGAUUAGUGCAUAGGAGGAGGUUAUACUUGGUUGAUCAGUGUUAAACAUGUUUAAUAGUGAUAUAUGAUUUCAAAUCUAGCUAUGUAAGUGUGCAUACUGUGAUAUUGUGUUUUAAUUGAUAUUGGUCCAUUACUUAUUGGUUUAUUGAGUUGGUUACUUGUUGAAUAAUAUAAGAAAAUAGGUGAAUAGUCUGAUAAAUAGAGGAAGUGCUGUUGAAUUUUCGUUAGAAACUAUAUAUGUUUUACUUGUUAAAGGAUAUUAAAUAGAUAAGAAUAAGGUGACAUGGUUAACUGAAACAUGUUAUAUGAUAACUUAUCAAUAUUGACUUUUAAUAGCUAUAAAAGUUAAUUGUUCAACUAUGUGCUAUGUGUUUGUCUGACUAUGUGGUAUGUAUAUGCGAAGGGUAGAUAUAUGAUAGGUAUUAAUGCUUUUCGAGCUUAGUUAAUCCGUCUGAUCCGACGACUGAAAUACUAUUUUGCCAUCGUAUAGAAUUGAACGAGACGUUGAUCGAGAAGUGAUUGAAAUGGGUAUUCAAAAAUAGCUAAGUUGUGUUGCAAGUUGAAGUUAGGCAGAGAUUGCUAUAGAUAGAAUCUUGUCAGAAGCUGGCAGAAAGGAAUGAUAUGGCACUACAUAGUGUUAUUAGAAAUCUGAGCUAGACACCGGAGUUAAGAUAAUGUUAAAGAUGGUUCGCCUAUUUAGGCUAAGCAUAAGAGUAAGGCUAGGCGAGGAUUGCAAGUGACUAAGUUUCAACCUGAUGGUCAGGAAGAGUAUCCAAGAUCGAGUCUUUGGGACUAGUGGUAAUUAGAGUUGUCUAAAUUUGAUUUAGUUGUAAAAACAUGUAAUAGGAUUUAUUAGUUUUACUUUUCUGAUUUCAAUACUAUAGCCUGUUUGCGAUCCUGUUUUAAAGGGGGUUAAACUUUGUUCUUUUAAAUCUUUUAUUAAAGCUUUUAGGUUUUCAAUUGUUUU